rnacentral:rRNA from 1 species
UACAGAGGUCUCAAGCGUUGUUCGGAAUUACUGGGCGUAAAGGGCGCGUAGGCGGUUCGCUAAGUUGAAUGUGAAAACUCUGGGCUUAACCCAGAGCCUGCAUCCAAAACUGGCGAACUGGAGUACUGAGGGGAAAAGCGAAUUCCUGGUGUAGCGGUGAAAUGCGUAGAUAUCAGGAGGAACACCGGUGGCGAAGGCGCUUCUGACAGUAACAUGACGCUGAG